rnacentral:rRNA from 1 species
AUAUUGCACAAUGGAGGAAACUCUGAUGCAGCGACGCCGCGUGAGCGGUGAAGCCUUUCGAGCCGUAAAGCUCUGUCCUAGGGGACGAUAAUGACGGUACCCUAUGCGGCAUCCCCGGCUAACUACGCUCCAGCAGGCGAGGUAAUACGUAGGGGGCGAGCGUUGUCCGGAAUUAUUGGGCGUAAAGGGUUCGCAGGCGGCCUUUUAAGUCAGAUGUGAAAGCCCACGGCUUAACCGUGGUAAGCAUUUGAAACUGGAAGGCUUGAGUUAAGGAGAGGAAAGUGGAAUUCCUAGUGUAGCGGUGAAAUGCGUAGAUAUUAGGAGGAAUACCAGUGGCGAAGGCGACUUUCUGGACUUAUACUGACGCUGAGGAACGAAAGCGUGGGGAGCAAACA